rnacentral:sRNA from 1 species
GCUCCGGCCCCACGCGGAACCCGCGGCUCCGAGCCUUCGCCGGCGUCCCGACCCGAGGCCGGACCCGAGGCCAGUCCCGCCGCUGCGCAGCCGAAGCCAGUGCGGGGCCUGAGAGGGACGCGCGCCCCGGGGCCCCCGCCGCGGGCACCAUGGGCGCUGCCCACUCCGCGUCUGAGGAGGUGCGGGAGCUCGAGGGCAAGACCGGCUAUGGAGUCUUGCUCUGCCACCCAGGCUGGAGUUCAGUGGUGCUAUCUCAGCUCACUGCAACCUCCGCCUCCUGGGUUCAAACGAUUCUCCUGCAUCAGCCUCCCCAGAAGCUGGGACUACAGUCUCAUCGGAUCAGAUCGAGCAGCUCCAUCGGAGAUUUAAGCAGCUGAGUGGAGAUCAGCCUACCAUUCGCAAGGAGAACUUCAACAAUGUCCCGGACCUGGAGCUCAACCCCAUCCGAUCCAAAAUUGUUCGUGCCUUCUUCGACAACAGGAACCUGCGCAAGGGACCCAGUGGCCUGGCUGAUGAGAUCAAUUUCGAGGACUUCCUGACCAUCAUGUCCUACUUCCGGCCCAUCGACACCACCAUGGACGAGGAACAGGUGGAGCUGUCCCGGAAGGAGAAGCUGAGAUGUGCGUGCCACUGAGUCCCCUUGCUCACACCUGGCCUGGGGUGCAGCCUCCCCUAAGACCUCAGAACGCAAGGCGCCUCUGCAGCAGGAGGCUGGGUGUGCACUGGCUUGGGGGCUUGGAGGGCUUGGGGCCACCAGCCCUCGUCCCUGUGAGGCUGGCAUUGCUGUCUCCCGUUCCCGGCACCCUCAUCCUAAACAUUCCUCAGCAGCUUGUGGCUUCCU